AACUCCCCUAGCAACGUUGAAGCUGAGGCUCCUUCACCCUCGGAGUUGUCAUCACCCAGUACCUGCGCGGAUGUGACACUACACGAAGAGCCUACCGAUCAGGAGGAAAUUACAGUUUCCUUGAUCCCUGAACCGGUUGUGGAGGACUCCCAGACAUCUGCCACCACCACCAGAACCACCACCAUGGCCAUGGUGCUUGACAAGCAA